UGGGAAUCUGCCCUUGGGUACGGAAUAACAGUUAGAAAUGACUGCUAAUACCGUAUAAUGACUCCGGUCCAAAGAUUUAUCGCCCAGGGAUGAGCCCGCGUAGGAUAGCUAGUUGGUGAGGUAAAGGCUCACCAAGGCGACGAUCCUUAGCUGGUCUGAGAGGAUGAUCAGCCACACUGGGACUGAGACACGGCCCAGACUCCUACGGGAGGCAG
rnacentral:rRNA from 1 species